GUAAAUGUAGUUUAUAAAAACACUAGAUUGUGAAUCUAGAAAUAGAGCCUAACCCCUCUCAUCUACC
rnacentral:tRNA from 1 species